rnacentral:lncRNA from 1 species
CUCUGAUCAAUAUGGUGAAUUACAGCUCUGAGUCAAUAAUAUCCUUUAGGUGCAUGUUAGUCUCAAUGCUGUGGACUUCUGUUCCAAUUUGAAUCCAACGGGGAUUCUCUUCCUCUGCUCAUUUCUCUCAUCUAUUUUUAAAUCGUUGGCAUGGGAUGGAUGAAAGUGCUGAUCACAUCAUCUCACCCGGUCUAAUGGAUGUAAUCCUCAGCUUACCAAAUCAUCCAAAGCCCAGUUGCUAUGAAUGAAUUCAAUCUCAUUCGAUCAUCACACUUUGUGAAGGGAUGUGCUGCCAAAUUCAAGGUAGCUGUUUAACAUCUAUAGUUAUUGUAGUGGUUUAUGCUACAUAGCUCCUUUUUAACUCUCUCUCAGGUAGUCUUAAAUAUCAGGCAGCUGCACCAUUUUCAUUCAAGUGAUCCUGUCACAUCACAUCAGCUUCAUAUUUUUCUUAACUCAAAUGGAAUGGUUCAAUAGGUGAAUCUCCUUUCUGGUUCAGAAACUGGGAAACUGGAUUAAAUGAUGAUGGGAAAAAUUUUAAAUUGUUCAUGAAAUAUAAAUAAAAAGUCUAUUGAGGAGAAUGAAACAGCCCUAGUCUGUUGGAUCUUUAUUGGACAAUAAACAAGUUGACAAAAUCGAUCAAAUGGCAUAGAACAGUUUUGACUCCAACAUCGAUCACACAAAUGCAAAUAAAGCCCCUGGCUAAGAAAUACCUAUAUUCAGUGACCUUUGACCUGUAGGACCAAUGCAUGAUACAUUGGGAACAAGUAGAAUCAUAUCUAAUUGUGUCUCAGUGUGCUUGCCUUUUUAGGUGGAGUUGGGGGGCUGACUGUUUAAAGGUUGAGGCACAAGGCAACUGUACCUAGAAGCAAACCCCGCUAAAUCAGGAAACAAUAAAGGUGAAGACCCUCUCACAAACUUUGGAAACAAGGCAUUCAGCAUCCUCACCUGUGUUACUGAAACAUGUGGGCUUCCUAUGGGAAGCUACUUCUGAAAGUGAAGAUUUUGCAGUGCCUGCAACUAUCAACUGGAUCAUCACCAUCUUCUGUAUGAAUUACACUCAGAUUGGUUGAUGUACCACAAAUUUGGUUUGUCAUAAUGUUUUCUCAAGGAUAAUACACCAAUUUGAUUUGUCAAAAAAUUGGUCAACAAUGACUGCAUUGUCCAUACCAGAUACCAACCUGCAAAACAUAACGCAAAAAGUAUGUGGAAUGAGAAUAAAUACAUCACAUAAAUACACAACAAAAGAAAAAAAGCAAUUGCUUAUUCCUUCAACCUGGGUUCAACUAGCAGAAUGACAAGCUAAAGAACAGUUUGCAAUUUACUAAAAAAUUAAAAGAUAACAGUAUGUUUGUAUGUAACACUAUACUUCUUUGGAUCAUAAUAUUUCAAUACUUCUUUAGAUCAAAUUAUUUCAAUCUUUUAAAGACUUAACAGUGGCAAUUAUGGUACUCAUAACAAAAUUACCCUAGACCUCUUAGAGAUUAUUUUGACAAAAGAAUAUUUCAAUCCUUCAUCACUAACUUCAUGUGGUUGCAGCUCCUCUUUUGAGGGCCAUCAGCAGGCACAUGUGGGCUCAUUGCUUUAUAAAUGGGCUUAUUCAUGACUUGGGUGGAUGAAUAUAUUUGAAAUUGUAAAUGGAUGGAACUCCAUUCGAACAGAAAUCUAAUUGCUUUAUAAAUGGUCUUAUUCAUGACUUGGAUGGAUGAAUAUAUUUGAAAUUGUAAAUGGAUGGAACUCCAUUUGAACAGAAAUCUAAGGAGCAGCCCAGCAACAAAUGAACAAAGUGAAGAUUAUAAAGACUAGCCUUAAAUGCAGCCAACCUAAGCUAGCAGCCGAAGGAUAGAAGAUGCCAAAGGGAAAGAACCAACAUUAACAUAAUCUCCAUUAGUUUCAGAAUCAGGAAUUUUCUUGAAGAAGAUGAACCUAUGCCUUUGGUUGGAAGAUACUCUGGAAGGUUGAGUUGAUAUCAUGAAAUUCAUUGUUCAAGGACCCUUAGCUUCUUUCUUGCCAAACAUGAUCAAAGAAAGCUGGAGGAACCAAUUUCCUUAGUGUAGAGCUAAACUGCUUUACUUUUCAUACAGCUGCAAGCCUAAUCAAUUUCUUAAAUCCUGUUUACUAACCAGUCUACUCAGAAAGCAUUUUUGGAGGAUGGAGGUUCUCCAGGAAGGAUGCACUCAAAGAACAAAUGCCCUCUAAUUUCAACAACCAGAUUACAACACAGUUUAUGCAUCAGGUUUGUGCUUCAACUGAGCAACUUAUAUUUAAGGGAGAGGCAAUUCUUCAAGUCUAACCAACAAAUGAAGCCAAAUUACACGGUAACAGGGCUGAACCGAAAGAAAUGAAACCAUUUGACAGGAGGCAAAGGCUUGUGAGAAUAAUUCCAGGCAGAAGAGUUUGGGAACUAAAAAGGAGACAGUAGAUUCAUAAUUCCAACAGCUCCAAAAAAUCAGACUAAGGUCCUAGGCUCUAUUAGCAAGAAUGCAGUUAACUUACACCAAACAGAGAAGCACAGUAGUAUAAAUUAUAACAUCACCAAAAUGAUAAAACAGUAGAUAUUGAAAACUUCCUCAUAACCCAAUACCUACUUUUGUGUAUGCCCUCAAUUAAGUCGUGGUUCAUAUUCUGUCCAUUUCUCUCCUGAUAAAAAGUUUGUCUAUGCUAAACCAUUUAUGAAAGCAUACAAUUUUAUAGAGUAUAUAAGUAUGAGUAGAUUGACAUAUUUGAAUCAAUAUCAGUAUUAAGAAUGAAAAUGGAUAAAAGCCCUUGAGGCCUAACUCAAGUGGCAAGGGGGCUGGAGGGAGGAUGUGGAAAGUUCUAGGUUCAAGUCCUGGCAGGGACAAAAAAGGGGAAAAUGUUACAAACCAAGUUGUAGAACAUAUCAUAGAACAGGUGACCGUUUGAAUGGUUCACAAGCACAAAUUGAUAGAAAAACAACUGAAAGAGGAACAAGAAUUGUAUCUUAGAGAAAAAAAUUAAAAGGAAAACAAUAUAUUACCUUUCAAGUUCGCCUUCACUGAACACGUGGUAAUAUCUAUUGUAAACUACGGCACCCUUUUUAUCAUCUUUCUUUGCCAGGCCAUUUGCAAGAGCACAAGCAGAAGCACCACUGACUUCUGCACGAUGGUAAGGUAGGUGCCAAGGGACAAAAUAUUCCUGAUGGCUCUCAAUAUUUUUUUUAAUUUUAAAAGUCAUUGAAUCAUCUUCAGUUUGACAGGUUGAAUGCAUAGUAUCCUGCAAGUUCUCAUUGGAAAUCUCCUUCAAAUCUUUUAAGUGCUCUCCUGAACCAUUCUCUUCUGUUUCAGGGAUACUUUCCAGAGUGAAGGAUGAAGGACUACGAAUGCGGG